rnacentral:rRNA from 1 species
UACAGAGGGUGCGAGCGUUAAUCGGAAUUACUGGGCGUAAAGCGUGCGUAGACGGUUAUUUAAGUCGGAUGUGGAAGCCCCGGGCUCAACCUGGGGAAUUGCAUUCGAGACUGAAUAGCUAGGGUGCGGUAGGAGGGAAGCGGAAUUUCCGGUGUAGCGGUGAAAUGCGUAGAUAUUCGGAAGGAACACAGUGGCGAAAGCG